AUUGAACGCUGGCGGCAUGCCUUACACAUGCAAGUCGAACGGCAGCACGGGAGCAAUCCUGGUGGCGAGUGGCGAACGGGUGAGUAAUACAUCGGAACGUGCCCAAUCGUGGGGGAUAACUACGCGAAAGCGUAGCUAAUACCGCAUACGAUCUACGGAUGAAAGCAGGGGAGUCGCAAGACCUUGCGCGAAUGGAGCGGCCGAUGGCAGAUUAGGAGUUGGUGA
rnacentral:rRNA from 1 species